UCUCACAGGUCUUAACUAUGC
ensembl:piRNA 21ur-1031 ncRNA